rnacentral:rRNA from 1 species
GCUACGGGUGGCAGCAGUGAGGAAUAUUGGUCAAUGGGCGCGAGCCUGAACCAGCCAAGUAGCGUGAAGGAUGACUGCCCUACGGGAUGUAAACUUCUUUUAUAAAGGAAUAAAGUGAGGCACGUGUGCCUUUUUGUAUGUACUUUAUGAAUAAGGAUCGGCUAACUCAGUGCCGGCAGCCACGGUAAUACGGAGGAUCCGAGCGUUAUCCGGAUUUAUUGGUGUUAAAGGGAUCGUAGAAGGGUUGUUAAGUCAGUUGUGAAAGUUUGCGGCUCAAACGUAAAAUUGCAAUUGAUACUGGCAGUCUUGAGUACAGUUGAGGUAGGCGGAAUUCGUGGUGUAGCGGUGAAAUGCUUAGAUAUCACGAAGAACUCCGAUUGCGAAGGCAGCUUACUAAACUGCCACUGACAUUGAUGCUCGAAAGUGUGGGUAUCAAACAGGAUUAGAUACCCCAGUAGUC